CCUACGGGCGGCAGCAGUGAGGAAUAUUGGUCAAUGGCCGGAAGGCUGAACCAGCCAUGCCGCGUGAAGGUCAGUGCCCUAUGGGCGUUAAACUUCUUUUGUGCGGGAGCAAUAAUGGUCACGUGUGGCCAGACGAGAGUACCGUACGAAUAAGCAUCGGCUAACUCCGUGCCAGCAGCCGCGGUAAUACGGGGGAUGCAAGCGUUAUCCGGAUUUAUUGGGUUUAAAGGGUGCGUAGGCUGUGAGGUAAGUCAGCGGUGAAAUGCCCCCGCUCAACGGGGUGAAGUGCCAUUGAUACUGCCUUGCUGGAAUGCGGAUGCCGUGGGAGGAAUGCGUGGUGUAGCGGUGAAAUGCAUAGAUAUCACGCAGAACUCCGAUUGCGAAGGCAGCUUACUAAGCCAUAACUGACACUGAAGCACGAAAGCGUGGGGAUCAAACAGGAUUAGAUACCCUUGUAGUC
rnacentral:rRNA from 1 species